AAUAAUUAUAAUUAAACAUAAAACGGCAAGCAAAAGGAACAAAGGGCAAUAUCACAGAGGUUUCCCAUGCAAGAUCACAUCAUGGCGAAAAAAAGGCCGCUCCUCCCCUUCUCCCUUUCCUCUCUUUCCACAGAUUUAAAAGAAGGAAAUAAAGAGAAAGGGAAGGAAACCGACAAAGACAAGAGUUACAGGAACGAGGCUUGUUUACAGGCUGUAAAGCAAGAGUAAAUUGAAGAAUAGGUCCCCACCUAUCCCAUAAUACAGAAACAGCCAUAAAAUUCCAAGAAACAAUGAUUACUACUUAUUUUCUUAAUUUUAACCGUCCAAACGCUCCCUAACCUGUUGUUGAAAAUCAGACAAGCUCCAUUUUAGAAGGCACUCUCAAAGUUUGAGGCAAACAUAGAACUCAACCAUAGAGAAUGAUCACCAAAGGUUAAAAUCCAAUCACAAACCUACAAAACUACAAAUGCUGUGCACAGAUUUAUAUUAUCAUAAAUCUCAAAGCUUAAAACAGAAAUUCUAUUAACUUAAAAUGACCUGAAAAUCCACAAAAUCUACAACCUUCAGAGGAAGGUUACACAUCAUUACCAGAACCAACAUCCGCUGGUAAAAAUAGAAAGCAAACCAGCUCCAUUACUUUCUGCGUCUUGUUCACUGACUUAAACAAGUCAAAUAAAAAAGCUAAACAGAAUUGCAGAUAAAUCCCUUUUUGCUUACAACAUGCAAUCAGUUCUUGCUGGCAACCUUCGGAAGAAAUUGAGCGGCACUGAAGGAAGCUUGUGGCGAAACCUGGGAUGUCUCAACACAUAAAAUCCAGUCAGAAGUGCAACAACUUGGAAAGGAGUAACAUAAAGAACAAUGGCUGCCACCAAACAGAAAAUCACAAACAGUGCUGUGGCCCUUGGAUCUCGCCAGCUCAGCAAAGACUGCAGUCUCUCCCCUUGAGUGGCUAAAUCUCCCACCACAGUCUGAAUCCUUCCAGCAAUACUUCUCAACCGAUCAUAUCUCAUCCUCACAAUAUCAGAAGGCCGAGAAGUUGGGAAAGUAUCAAACUCUUCAUCCAGUUCAUCAGGAUGUGCAGACUCUGCAUGUGAUAGACGAGUGUCCAUGUGAGGAGGUUGCCUUGGCCUCCAUCUAUAAUACCAAACACCAAUCAGGAACAGAUAAAGGAAGAUUGUGGGUAAGAUAAGCUCCGGAUAAAGUACUAGUAUUAUAAACAAUAUGUGAAUAAGCACCGUAGUGAUGGGGUUCCUCCAAUUACAUAUCUGAUCAAACCAUUUGCCCACUGCGAUUAUCCCACUAAAAACCCCCAUGAUUCUGAAAAAGUUAGCUUUGCUUCUUCUCAUGCUCCACAUAUGAGAAUCUACAUCCAGCAUAUACUCCACAACUUCUUUCCUCAGUGGUGGUUCUGCUCGGCUGAGCCUUACAGCUACAAUAUUCAUGGCUUGGUAUCUCAAACUGUCAAGCUGGUUUACAGUGAAUGGAUGCAAAUAAUGCAUUUUUGGUAGUAACGGGUGGCCAUAGAGAUAAAUCAUAUGUGCAAGAGAUAGGCAGGUGAACCGAACUGCUAAUUGAAGUUCUCCCAUCUUUUUCAAUCCAGAUGGUUGUAAGACAAGAAGUGGGUAAGAGUUUGUGUAGAUUCGAUCUGUUUCUAGAGUGGACAGUCGAAUUCUUACCUUUCCGAUUCUUGAGUCCAACCGAGCUCCACCACCACCGCCACCUGAUUUUUCAUUUCCACCUGAGUGGCAGUUGUCAAAAACUCCCAGUGUGAUCACUGUGCAAGGAUCAUAGACCUCCCAUGUGUAUUGUUCAUUCCACUUUGGAUUGAAGCUUUCUAGGAUUGUUCUGGUCCUCACCCACUUCAGUCCGUACUUAGCUACACAAUAGGCAUCAGUGUUUCCUUUACCUUCUUUGGUCUUCAUUGGAAGAAGCCCUUGCGCACUUAGGAUACCCACUUCAAGAAUGCCGAUAGGAUUCUUCCAGAGCUGCCUGACUGUUGGCCGCUGGUCGCUUAUAUACAUUGUUGAUUCAUCUAGUACAUGGUAAGCACCUUCGAGACAAACUCUGAGAUGAACUCUGCUUGAAAACUUGAGCUCAUGCCUCUUGUCUCCCUCAAGAGCACCAAAUCCAAAUUUUUCGAGGUUGAACCAUCUAGAGUGAACAGGCCGGUGAUCGAAGCGCCUCUCAAAGUUGUGAAGGGGCAAAAUCAACCUCCCCAUAAUUUCAUCUUUUGCAGGGGUGACCUUAUUUUCUACAGUAAGUGACAACUGUUCCUCAAAAGGCUCAGCUGCUACAAAGAUCAGAUCUUCGUUCCAUGUUGGGUUGUUUGUGCGAAUUGGGCAUAGCUUGGUUUUGAGUACCUGGUUUCCAACUUGAGCCUUUACAAAAACCUGUGGCUGUUGGCUUCUGUCAAGUGGUUCCACAUCCUGAGCUUCAAUCACGUUUACUCUGAGAUACCACAGUUUUGGUGAUACAUAAACUUUUGAUCGGACACUGAAAACACCUUCUCCUUGCACUGAUGCAGCAUCUGAGUUCCAGGCCUCAGGAAAAGCUUCAUCAGCUUGUGUUCCCAUCCAAACUGCAAGCAUUACUUCUCCUUUCACUUUGCUAUCCGCAUGCCGAUCCUCCAAUCUAUACCAUUGAGGUGCCAAAGGGCUAUCUGGUGGAACCCUUGUAGGCACUUCAUGCAUAUCGAAGAUUACUUUCCCUAUAUAAUCAUCUCUUCCUACCAUUUCUCUGUCUCUAACGAAAACUUCAAGAAUGGAAGAUUGAAUCUUCUCCUUCGAGAAUGCAAAGACCUGGUGCCAUUCAGGGUUGGUUUUCUUCUCAAAAUGCUUUGUUUUUCCUUUGUAAUUGCCAAGUUUCACUUCUACAUAUGGGUCACAGUUUCCUGUUACGGGAUUUGGGGGAAGAUCUUUGGCUUUCACAACUCGGACAUACAGGUAAAACAUCUGCUCAACAAGAUCAUAGGUGCUUGUAGCUCUGUCGCUGCUAAUCCACCCGCCUCCGCCACGUCCUCCAUGUGGCCAUCGUUCUCCAAGCUGAGGCUUUGUAUCCUUCAGUUUGAAGUCCUCUUGGCGGUUUAAUGGAUUCAUUGGUUCCUUGUUGCAGAAAGCUUACUAUUUUGUGAAUGCUAAGAGCAAACAAUUGUAACUUGAACUGUUGGAAAUACGGAAGCUGAGGUAUCCUUCCCUGAUUAUGUAGCUUUAAUACUUUUGAGUAGUUUCCACUGAUGCUCAACUUGACAUGUAAGAACUGCUUUUUUGGCAACAACCAUUGAUUAUCUUCAUCUCCUUAUUGAUUUGUAGCCUGGCCAAGAACUCUUCGUUGCAGGAAACUUGCAGGCAGUGUAUGAAUUUCUCUCAAUAGAGUUUUUAAAUUCUCAAGGCAUUUUAAAUCGUUGAGCGUGAUAAUGAGCAACCAAAUCAAAGGAGAUUAAGUGCAUUAUGAAUAAACAACUUCUAAAACCAACUUCAGAUGAUAUUUUCUGUCUUGAGAGAAUUUGCCAACUCCACUACCAGCUACAUAUUACCUUUUGGGUUCCUCUGAAUAGUGAAGGAAUCUUCAUUUUGCGAGAAAAAAGAAUGACAGAAAG
rnacentral:misc_RNA from 1 species